UACGUAGGGGGCUAGCGUUGCUCGGAAUCACUGGGCGUAAAGGGCGCGUAGGCGGCUUUGUAAGUCGGGGGUGAAAGCCCGGGGCUCAACCUCGGAAUUGCCUUCGAUACUGGAUGUCUUGAGUGUGAGAGAGGUGUGUGGAACUCCGAGUGUAGAGGUGAAAUUCGUAGAUAUUCGGAAGAACACCAGUGGCGAAGGCGACACACUGGCUCACGUACUGAACGCUG
rnacentral:rRNA from 1 species